rnacentral:rRNA from 1 species
CUUAUUUAGUAUUAUGGUAGUUGGUUAUGUUAAAAGCUAACCAAGCCUUAGAUGCUUAGCAGGCUUUAACGAGUGAUCUGCCACGAACGGGCUUAGAAAUAGUGCCUGAACUAUUUAUGGCAGCAGUAAAGAAUCUUGGGGCAAUGCAUUCAAGUGUGACCCAGCAAGUCUCCGUGGAUGAUGAAGAUAUUAAAUUAUAUUGUAAAAUUCUAUCUUUUUAUAUUUAUAAUGAAUUAUAAAAAGGAAAGCACAGGCUAAAUUCGUGCCAGCAGCCGCGGUAAUACGGAUUGUGCAAGUCUUUGACCUCGUGACUAGGUGUAAAAGGCCACAUAGGAGGUUAUAAAAGUUAUUGAGUAAAUACAGGGUAUAAACCUUGGAAUCUUAAUAAAACUUUAUAACUAGAAUAUAAUAGGGG